rnacentral:rRNA from 1 species
AUGAUCGAGGACCUUGAGGCCAAAGUGAGUGCUCAUAGCGCGAGAUCUCACCCUCUCAUCGAUUUGUUCAUACCAACCAUCGACAGCGAGCACGGCAUAUGCUACACCUAUCCUGAGAAACUUCCAGGGCAUUCAAAAGGGGCACGUGGAUGCGUCAAGAUACAGUCGGAGUGCGGUAUGCAUGCGAUGUGGCACAAGACCGGCAAUACCUUGCCGGUGAUGGUCAACGGCCAGCAGACCGGUAGCAAAAAGGUUCUGGUGCUGCACACCAACAAGAAGUUCGACCAGCAGAGGAACAACUGGGUGAUGCACCAGUACCACCUUGGGGACCUGGAGCAAGAGAAGGAGCAGGAGCUGGUCCUCUGCAAGAUUUUUUACCAGACGAACACUAGGGCCAGGAGUAAAAAGAUUAUAAGUUAG